GUCAUCUCAUGAUGUUCAGGGUCUUGCUGCUCCUGUUUGCCGUGGCUGGUCUCCAUGCAAGACCACUGCACCGAUUCCCAAAUGGUAAAUUAAAACCAAUUGGGCCACAAAUGGUCCAAGAUGAACACAGGGAUAGCUCAGUUCUGAAGCACAUGAACACUGAUGUGAAACCCAAGAAGCAACUACCAGUUCCCGCUGAGUUCUGCAGACAGGGAACAGAACCUUCCAGACGCUUCCUGAUGGACCUGAACACUGGGAUGCUCAAGCGCGGAGUUGGCAAAGUGAACGGAAAAGUUUCAGGAUUGGAUGAGCUCAAACAAGGCACUGAGAACCAGCUGCACACCCUGCAAGAGCUCAGAAUGCGUCCCAUGAUGAGAUCGCAGUACAGCGCGCAGAGCGAAAAACACGAGCAGAGAGCGAUCCCUGCCGAGGUGUACAGAAAAGGCACUGAAACUUCCAGAAAUGUCCUGAUGGACCUGAACACCGGUCUGCUCAAAGAACACAUGAACAAGAUGGACAGGAGAGUAGUGGCAGCUAAAUGGGAAGUGGUUUCUGAGCAUGAGGAUAUAAGAAGCCAAGACUCUUCUGAACAUAAGGAGAACCACAAAGCAGUUCCUGUUGAGAUCCGCAGACAGGGAACAGAACCUUCCAGACGCAUCCUGAUUGACUUGAACACUGGGAUGCCCAAGGAGGAACUCAGCGAAAUGAACAGAAGAGUUUCUGGCUUCUACAAUCCAGCAGCUAUUGAGAAGAGGCAAGGAACAGAACCUUCCAGACGCUUCCUGAUGGACAUGGACACUGGGAUGCUCAAGCACGAAGUUAGCGAAAUGAACAGAAGAGUUUCCGGCUUCUACAAUCCUCCAACUUAUGAGAUGAGGAAGGGAACCCAGAAUUCUCGCGCCACUCUGGUGGAUCCCAGAACUGGACAACUGCUGGAAUCUCUAACAGAGCUAAAGAGGAGCGCAGCGCCAUUGGAUGAGUUCAGACAAGGCACUGAGUACCAGCCGUACAUCCUACAGAAGCUCAGACUGAACAAACAAGACACUGAACCUUCCAGAAACCUCCUGAUGGACCUGAACGCCGGUCUGCUCAAAGAACACAGGAAUGAGAUGGACAGGAGAGUAGGGGGCUCAGCUAAAUGGGAAGUGGUUUCUGAGCAUGAGGAUAUAAGAAGCCAAGACUCUUCUGAACAUAAGGAGAACCACAAAGCAGUUCCUGUUGAGAUCCGCAGACAGGGAACAGAACCUUCCAGACGCAUCCUGAUUGACUUGAACACUGGGAUGCCCAAGGAGGAACUCAGCGAAAUGAACAGAAGAGUUUCUGGCUUCUACAAUCCAGCAGCUAUUGAGAAGAGGCAAGGAACAGAACCUUCCAGACGCUUCCUGAUGGACAUGGACACUGGGAUGCUCAAGCACGAAGUUAGCGAAAUGAACAGAAGAGUUUCCGGCUUCUACAAUCCUCCAGCUUAUGAGAUGAGGAAGGGAACACAGAAUUCUCGCGCUACUCUGGUGGAUCCCAGAACUGGACAACUGCUGGAAUCUCUAACAGAGCUAAAGAGGAGCGCAGCGCCAUUGGAUGAGUUCAGACAAGGCACUGAGUACCAGCCGUACAUCCUACAGAAGCUCAGACUGAACAAACAAGACACUGAACCUUCCAGAAACCUCCUGAUGGACCUGAACGCCGGCCUACUCGAACACCAAAAUAAGAUGGACUCUUCUGAACAUAAGGAGAACCACAAAGCAGUUCCUGUUGAGAUCCGUAGGCAAGGAACAGAACCUUCCAGACGCAUCCUGAUUGACACAAACACUGGUAUGCCCAAGGAGGAACUCAGCGAAAUGAACAGAAGAGUUUCCGGCUUCUACAAUCCAGCAGCUAUUGAGAAGAGGCAAGGAACAGAACCUUCCAGACGCUUCCUGAUGGACAUGGACACUGGGAUGCUCAAGCACGAAGUUAGCGAAAUGAACAGAAGAGUUUCCGGCUUCUACAAUCCUCCAGCUUAUGAGAUGAGGAAGGGAACCCAGAAUUCUCGCGCCACUCUGGUGGAUCCCAGAACUGGACAACGGCUGGAAUCUCUAACAGAGCUCCAGAGGAACGCAGUGCCAUAUGAGGCCUGGUGGACAACGUUUGGCUGUGUUCGUACCCUAUGACUGCAUGAAGACCAUCUCAGAACAUCUAGUUGACUGUACUGUUGUAUUCAGAGGUUUCAUGCAAUAAAAGUGUCAUGCGAUAUUUGGAAUGACCGCA
ensembl:lncRNA